ACUGCAGCGGGGGGUUAGAAAAGCCUCUCUGAGACUUUAGAUCCUACUAGACUAACUCCCCUUUUUCCUUUGCCAGUUGUGGAGACUUGCCAGGGGGAAGGCUGCUCGACAAGGGUAAAGGCAUUAGUAUUUCGGAAAGAUCAGCAUGCCAAUAAAGUCUUUCUGCAUUUCAAUUAGGGCCGGAUCAUUAAUGAGUCAUCUGAAAUGGCGCACUCUGAAUGAACAACUCCUUUUUAAAAUGUGGCAUCGGCUGCCUUUGAGGCCAGUGUGCUAAUAGAAAAGUUAAUUACAUCAGAAGUAUUCAUGUUAAUGUAUGUACUUUGACAGAAGCAAUAUAAUAAAAGGUUAGAGGAGUGUGUUCCAGUCCCCUGAUACCAGACACAUUUAAUUGCUUUGUCUUGGGUUCCACAGUCAGUCAUCUUGACAAUGGUGUAGUUGUAUAUUAAUCAUGAAUGGCUUGUUAAGCUUUGUUAAAUAAAAAAAGAGUAUUUUUGAUG